rnacentral:rRNA from 1 species
AAAUUGAAGAGUUUGAUCAUGGCUCAGAUUGAACGCUGGCGGCAGGCCUAACACAUGCAAGUCGAGCGGUAGCACAGAGAGCUUGCUCUCGGGUGACGAGCGGCGGACGGGUGAGUAAUGUCUGGGAAACUGCCUGAUGGAGGGGGAUAACUACUGGAAACGGUAGCUAAUACCGCAUAACGUCGCAAGACCAAAGUGGGGGACCUUCGGGCCUCAUGCCAUCAGAUGUGCCCAGAUGGGAUUAGCUAGUAGGUGGGGUAACGGCUCACCUAGGCGACGAUCCCUAGCUGGUCUGAGAGGAUGACCAGCCACACUGGAACUGAGACACGGUCCAGACUCCUACGGGAGGCAGCAGUGGGGAAUAUUGCACAAUGGGCGCAAGCCUGAUGCAGCCAUGCCGCGUGUGUGAAGAAGGCCUUCGGGUUGUAAAGCACUUUCAGCGGGGAGGAAGGCGGUGAGGUUAAUAACCUUG